rnacentral:rRNA from 1 species
UAGGGAAUCUUCCGCAAUGGGCGAAAGCCUGACGGAGCAACGCCGCGUGAGUGAUGAAGGUCUUCGGAUCGUAAAACUCUGUUAUUAGGGAAGAACAAAUGUGUAAGUAACUAUGCACGUCUUGACGGUACCUAAUCAGAAAGCCACGGCUAACUACGUGCCAGCAGCCGCGGUAAUACGUAGGUGGCAAGCGUUAUCCGGAAUUAUUGGGCGUAAAGCGCGCGUAGGCGGUUUUUUAAGUCUGAUGUGAAAGCCCACGGCUCAACCGUGGAGGGUCAUUGGAAACUGUAAAACUUGAGUGCAGAAGAGGAAAGUGGAAUUCCAUGUGUAGCGGUGAAAUGCGCAGAGAUAUGGAGGAACACCAGUGGCGAAGGCGACUUUCUGGUCUGUAACUGACGCUGAUGUGCGAAAGCGUGGGGAUCAAACA